AUUGAACGCUGGCGGCAUGCCUUACACAUGCAAGUCGAACGGUAACAGGUCUUCGGAUUCUGCCGAGGGGCGGACGGGUGCGUAAUACAUCGGAACGUGCCCGAUCGUGGUUGUUAACGGAGCGAAAGCUUUGCUAAUACCGCAUAAUAUCUACGAAUGAAAGCGGGUGAACGCAAGGCCUUGCGCGACCUGGGCGGCCGAUGGCAGAUUAGGUAGUUGGUGGGAUAAAGGGUUACCAAGGCGACGAUCUGUAGCUGGUCUGAGAGGACGACCAGCCACACUGGGACUGAGACACGGCCCAGACUCCUACGGGAGGCAGCAGUGGGGAAUUUUGGACAAUGGGCGAAAGCCUGAUCCAGCCAUGCCGCGUGGAGGAUGAAGGCCUUCGGGUUGUAAACUGCUUUUGUACGGAAAGAAAAGACUCUGGUUAAUACCUGGGGUCCAUGACGGUACCGUAAGAAUAAGCACCGGCUAACUACGUG
rnacentral:rRNA from 1 species